GAGAAGGUGACUCAGUGGGAGAGUGCUUGCUUUGCAUGCAAGAAGCCCUGGGUUCAGUUCCUCACCAACACA
rfam:Dipodomys ordii contig_76978, whole genome shotgun sequence.